AUUGAACGCUGGCGGCAUGCCUUACACAUGCAAGUCGAACGGUAACGGGCCUUCGGGUGCCGACGAGUGGCGAACGGGUGAGUAAUAUAUCGGAACGUACCUUUCAGUGGGGGAUAACGUAGCGAAAGUUACGCUAAUACCGCAUAUUCUGUGCGCAGGAAAGCAGGGGACCUUCGGGCCUUGCGCUGAUUGAGCGGCCGAUAUCAGAUUAGCUAGUUGGUGAGGUAAAGGCUCACCAAGGCGACGAGCUGUAGCGGGUCUGAGAGGUUGAUCCGCCACACUGGAACUGAGACACGGGCCAGACUCCUACGGGAGGCAGCAGUGGGGAAUUUUGGACAAUGGGGGCAACCCUGAUCCAGCCAUGCCGCGUGAGUGAAGAAGGCCUUCGGGUUGUAAAGCUCUUUCGGCCGGGAAGAAAUCGCACGGGCUAAUACCCUGUGUGGAUGACGGUACCGGAAUAAGAAGCACCGGCUAACUACGUGCCAGCCGCCGCGGUAACAC
rnacentral:rRNA from 1 species